AGUGAACGCUGGCGGUAGGCCUAACACAUGCAAGUCGAACGGCAGCACAGUAAGAGCUUGCUCUUACGGGUGGCGAGUGGCGGACGGGUGAGGAAUACAUCGGAAUCUACUUUUUCGUGGGGGAUAACGUAGGGAAACUUACGCUAAUACCGCAUACGACCUACGGGUGAAAGCAGGGGAUCUUCGGACCUUGCGCGAUUGAAUGAGCCGAUGUCGGAUUAGCUAGUUGGCGGGGUAAAGGCCCACCAAGGCGACGAUCCGUAGCUGGUCUGAGAGGAUGAUCAGCCACACUGGAACUGAGACACGGUCCAGACUCCUACGGGUGGCAGCAGUGGGGAAUAUUGGACAAAGGGCGCAAGCCUGAUCCAGCCAUACCGCGUGGGUGAAGAAGGCCUUCGGGUUGUAAAGCCCUUUUGUUGGGAAAGAAAAGCAGCAGGUUAAUACCCCGCUGUUCUGACGGUACCCAAAGAGUAAGCACCGGCUAACUUCGUG
rnacentral:rRNA from 1 species